UACGUAGGUGGCAAGCGUUGUCCGGAAUUACUGGGUGUAAAGGGCGUGUAGGCGGGGAGACAAGUCAGAUGUGAAAUACCGUGGCUUAACUGCGGGGGUGCAUCUGAAACUGUUUCUCUUGAGUGUCGGAGAGGAAAGUGGAAUUCCCAGUGUAGCGGUGAAAUGCGUAGAGAUUGGGAGGAACACCAGUGGCGAAGGCGGCUUUCUGGACGAUAACUGACGCUGAGGCGCGAAAGCGUGGGUAGCAAACAGGAUUAGAUACCCUGGUAGU
rnacentral:rRNA from 1 species